UCGCUUCUGUUGAAGCGUAAACAUGUUUUUUCUACAAAACCUUUUUUUUUUUCAUUUAACAAAAGAAGCCAAAGUUCCCAAACGGUUAAACGGCGCUAAGGGUCUCUCGCAUCAAAACAAUAACAGAAGACGCAGUUUGAUGACAUCGUGACAUAGUGUGGGAUCGUGGGAGUUGUUGUCUUCAUUGUUAAACAGCCACCACUGAAGAUGAAGAUCGAGACGUGACUCAGGCAGGAAUCAUGUUCACGGCGAGAGUUUCAUCAGAGCGGCUUCAUCAGAGCAGAGGCAGAGGAAGAGGAAACACUGGAGGGAAUUAAAGCCGCUCAAAGCAAUGGUGGAUCGUGGAGCUCUCUGCAUGGCUCUGGCAAACCAAUCGUUGCUGGUUGACGUAAAACGCAGCGCUGCCGGUGCGUCAGCGCGGGAAUGUCGCCACAGACGGCAGAUUUAAAAACUCUGGUAUACUGUGAAAUCCAGAGAUUUCCCUGCCGGUGAUAGGCUUAAUCAGCACUGUGUGAACUCGAUGCCACUGUUCAAGACAUCAUAAUGCUGGUGUUCGGUUUGGUACUAUUUUUAACAUAUGGAUCCAUCUCAAAUCUGUGAGAUUGACAAUCAAAAAAUGCUUUUUGCAGGUUCAUGUCAUGUUACAUCACAUGAACUGUCUCCUCCUUCUCCCUUAUUAAAUUUUUCAGGCUGCACCUUCGCCACAGGUACAUCAGAUGACUUCCUGCCUGACUGCCUCGGCUGACCUGAAUUCACCGUUUGAUGCCUCUGGCUGCACGGCGAGAAAAAAAAAACUGGAACAUCACAUUUGCAUUUUAGUCAUUUAAGGGGGAAAAAGAGUUCUUAUCAGAGAGACGUCACAGGGAGGGCAGUGUUAGAAGAAACUUCAACUCUUAGAUUACCAACAUCAGACGUAGCCAACAGUCAGGAGGUCAGAGGUCAAACGUCACAGCACCCUGACAGUAGUCCUGACACACUGUAGACAGAUGACUGACCAUGGAGAGUUGGCAUAUAAAAGUCACUGGUUGGAGGCAGAGCAGGAACUUCAUGCAGAGAAAACGGAAGACACACGAGAGGAGGAUGUGAUCCAACGUUAUACAGUAUCAGUGUUACAUGUGUACAUUAGAUUGUGUCUAUUGUGAAGCACUUUGUAACUGAGAUUUUGAAAAGCAUUACAUACUUUACUUUAAAUUCGAGGCCUCCAAAGAUCUUGUGUUCACUGUUCUUGUGUUUCAUUCUGGCCACCACUUCACCACACAAGUUUUCUUUGAUUAAACUUGCAGCUCUUUUCACUCGCCACGCAGGCAAAAAUAAUCUUGCUGUAAUAUUAGAUAUCAAUAUUAAUAAAUAGAUAUGCAUUAACAAGCAACACAUAAGGACACAUAGAAGACAAGAUCCCUCCAUGCUCCCUCUCUCUCCAAAGGCUGCACUUUUCUGCCGACAGUGUAUGGAUACACGUGCACCAUCAUAUAAUUAUGUACAUCUAUUUUUACAUACAUAUUCAUACAUAUUCACAAAGAAAAUAUAUGAUUAACGAAUUAAAUUUUGAUAUUUUCUGCCUGUGCCCUGUUUUC